rnacentral:rRNA from 1 species
UGGGGAAUAUUGGACAAUGGGCCAAAGCCUGAUCCAGCCAUGCCGCGUGUGUGAAGAAGGCCUUUUGGUUGUAAAGCACUUUAAGCGAGGAGGAGGCUACUUGGAUUAAUACUCUAGGAUAGUGGACGUUACUCGCAGAAUAAGCACCGGCUAACUCUGUGCCAGCAGCCGCGGUAAUACAGAGGGUGCGAGCGUUAAUCGGAUUUACUGGGCGUAAAGCGUGCGUAGGCGGCUUCUUAAGUCGGAUGUGAAAUCCCUGAGCUUAACUUAGGAAUUGCAUUCGAUACUGGGAAGCUAGAGUAUGGGAGAGGAUGGUAGAAUUCCAGGUGUAGCGGUGAAAUGCGUAGAGAUCUGGAGGAAUACCGAUGGCAAAGGCAGCCAUCUGGCCUAAUACUGACGCUGAGGUAAGAAAGCAUGGGGAGCAAACAGG